rfam:Gasterosteus aculeatus cont1.000455, whole genome shotgun sequence.
CCUUCGAUAGCUCAGUUGGUAGAGCGGAGGACUGUAGGCUGAUGUUCAAUGUGCAAUUAGCAGGUAUCCUUAGGUCGCUGGUUCAACUCCGGCUCGAAGGA